GUUUGAGGACGCUAGGUGAUGGGAAGUUGAGGAGGUUAGGUAAGUGGUUUGAGGACGCUAGGUGAUGGGAAGUUGAGGAGGUUAGGUAAGUGGUUUGAGGAUACUAGGUGAUGGGAAGUUAAGGAGGUUUGGUAAGUGGUUUGAGGACGCUAGGUGAUGGGAAGUUGAGGAGGUUAGGUAAGUGGUUUGAGGACGCUAGGUGAUGGGAAGUUGAGGAGGUUAGGUAAGUGGUUUGAGGAUACUAGGUGAUGGGAAGUUGAGGAGGUUAGGUAAGUGGUUUGAGGAUACUAGGUGAUGGGAAGUUGAGGAGGUUAGGUAAGUGGUUUGAGGACGCUAGGUGAUGGGAAGUUGAG